rnacentral:ncRNA from 1 species
UACACUUGCUAAAUUCCGAAGCGGCGCUGGCAAAAGUGUAGCCGUGUUGUGUUAGUUCCGCCACUUCGAUUCCACAUUAUAUUUGAUGAGGCUCAUAAAAUAGACAAAUUUGGCGUUUCAAAUGACGAUUAACAAAACAUAUCAAUGCUUCGUAAACCCCAUUCUGGCGUAAGAAACAAACAUCAAAUCUUUCUGGCAAUUGCUCCAAUUUUUUAGCUUGGACUAAUAAAGUAGGAUGAUGUACCUCUUUCGUUGGUCCCUGGUAACAUCGUAGUGACUAAUAAGGACGGCCGGGGCAUUAGUAUUCAGUUGCGAGAGGUGAUAUCCUUAGGUUUUCUGAAGUCUAAAUAAUUUGAAAGCAAUUUCAAUAACAUUUUCUCAAGUCAAGAACGAAAGUUAGGGCAUCGAAGUUGAUCGUAGUCUUCACCAUAGACUAUGCCGACUAGGGUUUAGGCGGCGCCUCACGUAGAUGACGUGCACAGCGCCUUGCGAGAAAUCAAAGCUUUUCUAUUCUGGAGGGAAUAUGGUCGCAAGGCUCAGUCUUAAAAAAAUUGACGGAAGAACACACUCUUUUCAAAGUGCUUUCCAUCUCUCCAUUAUUG